rnacentral:rRNA from 1 species
UACGUAGGUGGCAAGCGUUGUCCGGAUUUACUGGGUGUAAAGGGCGUGUAGGCGGGUUGUCAAGUCAGAUGUGAAAUCCCGGGGCUCAACUCCGGAACUGCAUCUGAAACUGAUGAUCUUGAGUACUGUAGGGGAAAGUGGAAUUCCUAGUGUAGCGGUGAAAUGCGUAGAUAUUAGGAGGAACACCGGUGGCGAAGGCGGCUUUCUGGGCAGUAACUGACGCUGAGGCGCGAAAGCGUGGGGAGCAAAC